UUAAGUGAAUAAGGGCGCACGGUGGAUGCCUUGGCACUAGGAGCCGAUGAAGGACGGGACUAACACCGAUAUGCUUUGGGGAGCUGUACGUAAGCUAUGAUCCAGAGAUUUCCGAAUGGGGGAACCCAGCAUCUUUAAUAGGAUGUUACGAUUGUGUGAAUACAUAGCACAUUCGAGGUAGACGCAGAGAACUGAAACAUCUAAGUACCUGCAGGAAGAGAAAGAAAAUUCGAUUCCCUGAGUAGCGGCGAGCGAAACGGGAAAAGCCCAAACCAACAAGCUUGCUUGUUGGGGUUGUAGGACUCCAAUAUGGUCGUUCUUUCAGAUAGUCGAAUGACUUGGAAAAGUCAGUCAAAGAGGGUAAAAACCCCGUAGACAAAAUGUGGAAGACACCUAGGAGGAUCCUGAGUACGGCGGAACACGAGAAAUUCCGUCGGAAUCCGGGAGGACCAUCUCCCAAGGCUAAAUACUCCCUAGUGACCGAUAGUGAACCAGUACCGUGAGGGAAAGGUGAAAAGCACCCCGGAAGGGGAGUGAAAUAGAACCUGAAACCGUGUGCCUACAACAAGUCAAAGCCCGUUAAUGGGUGAUGGCGUGCCUUUUGUAGAAUGAACCGGCGAGUUACGAUUGCAUGCGAGGUUAAGUUGAAGAGACGGAGCCGCAGCGAAAGCGAGUCUGAAUAGGGCGUUUGAGUAUGUAGUCGUAGACCCGAAACCAUGUGAUCUACCCAUGUCCAGGUUGAAGGUGCGGUAAAACGCACUGGAGGACCGAACCCACGUACGUUGAAAAGUGCGGGGAUGAGGUGUGGGUAGCGGAGAAAUUCCAAACGAACUUGGAGAUAGCUGGUUCUCUCCGAAAUAGCUUUAGGGCUAGCCUCGGAAUUGAGAAUGAUGGAGGUAGAGCACUGUUUGGACUAGGGGCCCAUCUCGGGUUACCGAAUUCAGAUAAACUCCGAAUGCCAUUCAUUCAUAUCCGGGAGUCAGACUGUGAGUGAUAAGAUCCAUAGUCGAAAGGGAAACAGCCCAGACCACCAGCUAAGGUCCCAAAAUAUAUGUUAAGUGGAAAAGGAUGUGGGGUUGCACAGACAACUAGGAUGUUGGCUUAGAAGCAGCCACCAUUUAAAGAGUGCGUAAUAGCUCACUAGUCGAGUGACCCUGCGCCGAAAAUGUACCGGGGCUAAACAUAUUACCGAAGCUGUGGAGUACACCUUUAGGUGUAUUGGUAGGAGAGCGUUCUAAGGGCGUCGAAGGCAGAUCGUGAGGACUGCUGGAGCGCUUAGAAGUGAGAAUGCCGGUAUGAGUAGCGAAAGACAGGUGAGAAUCCUGUCCACCGAAUGACUAAGGUUUCCUGGGGAAGGCUCGUCCGCCCAGGGUUAGUCGGGACCUAAGCCGAGGCCGAUAGGCGUAGGCGAUGGAUAACAGGUUGAUAUUCCUGUACCCGUUGUUUUUGUUUGAGCAAUGGAGGGACGCAGGAGGCUAAGGAAUGCAGACGAUCGGAAAUGUCUGUCCAAGCAGUAAGUCUGAAGAGGAGUCAAAUGCUUCUUUUCUUAAGGACAAGCUGUGAUGGGGAGGGAAAUAAUAGUACCGAAGUUCCUGAUGUCACACUGCCGAGAAAAGCUUCUAGUGAGAAAACAGCGGCCCGUACCGCAAACCGACACAGGUAGUCGAGGAGAGAAUCCUAAGGUGAGCGAGAGAACUCUCGUUAAGGAACUCGGCAAAAUGACCCCGUAACUUCGGGAGAAGGGGUGCUGAUCAUACGAUCAGCCGCAGUGAAUAGGCCCAAGCGACUGUUUAUCAAAAACACAGGUCUCUGCAAAAUCGUAAGAUGAAGUAUAGGGGCUGACGCCUGCCCGGUGCUGGAAGGUUAAGAGGAGUGCUUAGCGCAAGCGAAGGUACGAAUUGAAGCCCCAGUAAACGGCGGCCGUAACUAUAACGGUCCUAAGGUAGCGAAAUUCCUUGUCGGGUAAGUUCCGACCCGCACGAAA
rnacentral:rRNA from 1 species